AACGAACGCUGGCGGCAUGCCUAACACAUGCAAGUCGAACGAUGCUUUCGGGCGUGGUUGCGCACGCGUGCGGCGCGCGUGGGAAGCUGCCCGUGGGCUCCGGAUAACAGUGAGAAAUUGCUGCUAACACCGGAUGAUGUCUUCGGACCAAAGAUUUAUCGUCCAGGGAUGAGCCCGCGUAGGUUUAGCUAGUUGGUGGGGUAAUGGCCUACCAGGGCGACGAUCCUUAGCUGGUCUGAGAGAAUGAUCCGCCACACUGGGACUGAGACACGGUCCAGACUCCUGCGGGAGGCAGGAGUGCGGAAUAUUGCAAAAUGGGCGCAAGCAUGAACCAGCUCUGCCGGGUGAGUGAUGAAGGCCGUAGAGAAGAAAAGCUCGUUUACCCGGGAUGAUAAUGACAGUACCGGGAGAAUAAGCACCGGCUAACUUCGUG
rnacentral:rRNA from 1 species